CUACGUAGGGUGCGAGCGUUGUCCGGAAUUACUGGGCGUAAAGAGCUCGUAGGUGGUUUGUCGCGUCGUCUGUGAAAUUCCGGGGCUUGACUCCGGGCGUGCAGGCGACACGGGCAUAACUUGAGUACUGUAGGGGAGACUGGAAUUCCUGGUGUAGCGGUGAAAUGCGCAGAUAUAAGGAGGAACACCGGUGGCGAAGGCGGGUCUCUGGGCAGUAACUGACGCUGCGGAGCGAAAGAAUGGGUAGCGAACAGGCUUAUAUACCCUGGUAGUCCAUGCCGUAAACGGUGGGCGCUAGGUGUAGGGGUCUUCCACGACUUCUGUGCCGUAGCUAACGCAUUAAGCGCCCCGCCUGGGGAGUACGGCCGCAAGGCUAAAACUCAAAUGAAUUGACGGGG
rnacentral:rRNA from 1 species